AUUGAACGCUGGCGGCAUGCUUUACACAUGCAAGUCGAACGGUAACAGGCCGCAAGGUGCUGACGAGUGGCGCACGGGUGAGUAAUGCAUCGGAACGUGCCCAGUCGUGGGGGUUAACUACUCGAAAGAGUAGCUAAUACCGCAUACGAUCUAUGGAUGAAAGCGGGGGACCGUAAGGCCUCGCGCGAUUGGAGCGGCCGAUGUCAGAUUAGGUAGUUGGUGGGGUAAAGGCUCACCAAGCCAACGAUCUGUAGCUGGUAUGAGAGGACAACCAGCCACACUGGAACUGAGACACGGCCCAGACUCCUACGGGAGGCAGCAGUGGGGAAUUUUGGACAAUGGGCGCAAUCCUGAUCCAGCAAUGCCGCGUGCAGGAAGAAGGCCUUCGGGUUGUAAACUGCUUUUGUACGGAACGAAACGGCUCUGGUUAAUACCCGGGGAUAAUGACGGUAACGGAAGAAUAAGCACCGGCUAACUACGUG
rnacentral:rRNA from 1 species